rnacentral:misc_RNA from 1 species
UAUUCAGCAGACCAAUGUCAGUACUCAACAAUGUCAAUAACCGACGAGUUUUUAACAAUGGAGCGAUGACUCCCCACAAUCGCAACAAUGAUUUCUGAGCCCAGAAUUCUAAAACACCAUCGCUUGCAUUAGUAAACAUUGCAAAACGACAAACAAUUAGCGAGCACAAUCUUCCACAUCUUCCUUCUACAAUCUACAGCUGUUUCUCUCAAUUCCUGGUUUGCAUUUAGAUUCACUGGCAUAUCCAGACUCUAACAACUUACCUACCUAAUUUGUCAAAACUAGAAAGAAACCAGGAACAUCCAAUUCUUUGUUCAAUCUAUUGAGAAAUCACAGAACAAUAUCAAUUCUGCGGUAUGCAAUGCCUAACUAUUAACAGCCAGAGGUAUCCAUGUAGAACCACUGCAGAGGAAAUGUCAUUUUGCGCCCUCAGAACCAUCACCACCACUGUGCCCGGCAACUGAAUUCCCUUGACCAUCAGUAGCUGAUGCCCGAGCAUCAGAGGCAUCCUGUUUGCUUCCCCCACGAACAUCAUUAGAGCCUCCGGUUGCAGAUGGGCCACCGCUUCCAAGAGUUGCCUCAGUAUGCAAGGGAUGCAUGCCAUUGUUGGCCCCCAUGGGUCUCAUUCCCAUUUGCCCUUGAAUGGCUGCUUGGUGUAACUGAUGAGGAUCCUGCAUUUGAUGAGGAUUAUUGAAUUGUAAUGGCAUCUUUGGAGGGAAAAUGCCCGACUGCUGAGCCAUUGCUGCUGCCUGAGGAUGUUGCAUGUAAUAUGCUCCUUGCUGCAUUGCAGGCUGUGGGGCCAUCUGAGAGUGUAGGUGCAGAUGAGCAAGAAGUGUGAGUGUCACUAAACUACUAAAAGAUCAACUGCAUACCUGGGGAGGCAUUGUUGGUGCCUGUGGUUGUGCAUCAGCAAUUGCAGCUAAAUACAUUAAAUUCUUUUGCAGCUGGGCUUGAUACCUAGAUCAUCAAAAUCUUACAUAGACACAAAUGUCGGAUACACAAACACACACCAGACAUGAAAAAACACUAAAACAAGAACUAGAAUGCAUGUACACAUAAAAAAAAAGAUAAGCUAAAACCAAAACCAUCUAAGAACUCUUUUCUAGUCCAACAAAAUUCAAGUAACUGCCUGCAAGCUUUAUAGAGUUAUAGAUAUGCCUCUUUUACUACCAAUUUUCAAAUGCAGUCUGAACUUGAUUCUAAACACAUUUCACAUGGAACAUCAACUCAUUGUAGGCUCAUUGUGUGAUCAUUAACCAUCAGAGUCAUUGUAAACAUCAAAUUUAUUGUUGGUCCCCACCAACAGGAAAAUAAUGAAAUCCACCAACAGGAAAAUAAUGAAAUCUCAGAUAUUUCUGUAACAAUAGUGCAUCAACAUAUGAAGCCAGUGUCUGAGCAUUUGAAAUUCAAUUCCAAAAGCCCAUGUUCAAAUAAUACUUAUCUCCACAUGAUGUUUAUUCAUCCUAACCGUAACAGCAUUAUAACAAUAAACAAACACUUGAAUCAAGUGAGAUGAAACACCUGCAAUAACAAAAUGGUUGUCAAGUUAAAGUCAUGGUCUGUAAUAGAUUAGUAGCCAAACCCUGUAAAGUGCUACAUGCACUCCAAGUUACCCAUAUCAUUAUCAUUAAGAAAACAUUAUCUAAGAUCAUAACAUCGCACCAGAGUCUACAAUUCUACCCCAUUUCCAACUGGAGGAAAAAAGUUGUCUUUACCUUUCUUUUAAUUGAUAACUAAGAAUGGAUCAUAAUUAAUAUUUCUAAUUCAGAAUCAAAGUCAUUAAAAGAUCAGGUAAAAAAUCUAAUGGUAGAAUGCCCAUGUAACUCCAUGUCCUCAACAGAAGAUGAUCUCAUGCUUGAAAUUGCAUUUACCAAUUUAAAUAUGUUGCCAACUGUUAAAAAUGCUUAUGGGUUUUCAGGAUUCCAAAGUGACAUUGUUCUGAAUACGCGCUGAAAUAAAAAGUAGAACAGUUCCAGUCCCUAAGGACCCUCAACAUUACUUAAAAUGCACACAACUACGACCUGGCAUUAUGGUUUAAAACACACAAAAUUAAGAAUAUGCAUAACAACUUCGCACAGAAGCAUGAACAGGAUUGUGUUGGCACACAAAUGCAAAUACAGAGAAUAAGGCACUUACUGGGCACAUUCAGCAAGUUUUCCCAGGUUUUGAUUGUCCAAUAUCGCCAUGAUCAAUUUUUUAUUUUCAUCAAGGUACUGCAUUAACAAAGAUGAGUCAAACAACAAUGAUAUCCAUAUCAGCAUACAAUCUAUCCAAACCAUUCAUAGCAAUAGCCCUGUUUAUAGGGUUCAACACUCAAGCAGAACUGAAUUUAUUAGCCAUGUGGACUGCUAAACACUUUAUCCACUUGGAAGCAAUUUAGUUGGUAGCAGAUAUAUACGAUGAAAUACUUAUUUAAUCAACAAAAUUGAAGGAGAAUAAGUUCUGGAAAUGAUGUGACAUGGUUCACAAUAUGGAAGAGUUAUUUAAAGAUUGCUUGGUCACACAAAAAAGGAAGCUUUUUUACAAGUCAAUAUGCCAGCCAGAGGAAAACAAAAUAUAGAUAGUUCAUAACCGAAAGAUUAUUAUCGGAUCUUAAAAGUAUAUUGGCACAAUAGCUUAUUUCAUUAUUUAAACAGCCAUAUUGCAUGGUACAAGCACCCUUGGAUUCAUUUACAUCCCAUAAGUACGAAGAACAUCCAUCUGUGCAAGAAUGAAUCAUACAUAAUUGAAUGAUAAAGAUUUCAUUAAAAAUAAUGCAGGUUCAUAACUAACUUGCAUAUCACUAUAAAUACACAAACGUUGAAAGAGAACAUAAAGUCUCAUUUCAGCGAAUGAACAUAAAAUGGGCUUUCUUAGUUUCAAACUUCUAAGUUCCAUUUAAUCACCGCUAACUACUUGUAUAACUUAGUUUUCUCUUAAUUUAAUCCACGUGUCCGUUUAUUUAUUCAGUAGUCUUAACCAAUUUGAAAAGGAAAAAAGAAGAGAACAAAACUUAAAGGCUGAAGAACUUUAAUAGCUGAAACCGACAUUUAAUACAUAAAUAUUCAGAAGCUAUUAUUAACUUGAUCUCCUUCUUAAAAGUAAAUUGUCAUCUGCAUAAAAUCCACAGUUAUCAGUCUAUCAGAGAUAUAUCUGCGUAACCAACUGAUUAGGCAUAGUACAAGGUCUACUAAUAGAAAACAUAGACCAAAAAAAACAGCCUUAAUGAUAAUAUGGCAUUAAAUGAUAAAAUUUGCUUGCAUAAAACAACUGCCAAACUCUGAGCUAAUAGGAGAAAAAUUAAUAAGCCAACCAUGUAUUCUUGUCCCUUUAACGUGUACUAUAACUUCAAUUAUUCGCUUUCAAAAAUAGGCCCCCCAUCCCCAUCAUAAACCCCUCAAAAGCCAACUAUGGCGAGACCCAUAUUUUCAAAACCAAUUAUCAAAAGCUCAAAAUCAUUUAAUUGACACAAAAGAACACACCCAUAUCCGCAUUUAUGCACAUAAUACGCUAUAAAUGAAGAAAGUUGAGAAAAAAGAUAUGCCUUUUGGAUCUGCUCAGUGGUAAUGUUCGCGGGUGGGUAUGAAGGCAUCACAGGAAUCAUCUGCGGUGGCUGCUGCAUCUUGUAUUCCUAUCUUUUAGCUAAAAAAAAAACUUACCCUCGUCACAAAUGAAGAAAAAAAAACCUCAAAUUGAUAAACCCUAAUCCAAAUAUAAGGACAAAGUAAGAAAUAAUCGCAAGCAUGAAUAAGGAAACAGAUAAAGGGAGGUGCGGCGGGCAGCUGCAAGCGGGCAAGUAAGUGUAUUUGAUUGAGGACUAAUCUUCAACGGCGACGAGG